rnacentral:rRNA from 1 species
AGUGAACGCUGGCGGCAGGCCUAACACAUGCAAGUCGAACGGCAGCACAGUAAGAGCUUGCUCUUACGGGUGGCGAGUGGCGGACGGGUGAGGAAUACAUCGGAAUCUACUUUUUCGUGGGGGAUAACGUAGGGAAACUUACGCUAAUACCGCAUACGACCUACGGGUGAAAGCAGGGGAUCUUCGGACCUUGCGCGAUUGAAUGAGCCGAUGUCGGAUUAGCUAGUUGGCGGGGUAAAGGCCCACCAAGGCGACGAUCCGUAGCUGGUCUGAGAGGAUGAUCAGCCACACUGGAGCUGAGACACGGUCCAGACUCCUACGGGAGGCAGCAGUGGGGAAUAUUGGACAAUGGGCGCAAGCCUGAUCCAGCCAUACCGCGUGGGUGAAGAAGGCCUUCGGGUUGUAAAGCCCUUUUGUUGGGAAAGAAAAGCAGCAGGUUAAUACCCCGCUGUUCUGACGGUACCCAAAGAAUAAGCACCGGCUAACUUCGUG